rnacentral:lncRNA from 1 species
AAAAAUGUAAAACAAGCUCAUGUUCAUAUAGAGUUGCCUAUACAUCACUACUAUACAACCCAGCCAAUCAAUAAUAAUGGUAAUACGAACAAGAUGUUUGGAGCUUAUAUUGUAGACUGUUCGCUUGGAUGAUUGCAACAACAAGAAGUAUAUCAGGGAUUUUGUCGUUAUGCAAGUGAGACAGACUAAUGCUGAAAGUAUUCACAACAUUUAUUCACAAUUGUUUAUUUUUGCUAUCUGCAGAAAUAAUCUGCUCUCAAAUCAUACUCUAACAGUCUGAUUUCUGCUCUGCAUCUAUAAUGACUGGAAAUUGCAACCUAACGUGGAAAGUGUUUGCUUUAUAGAGCAAAUAAUACCCACCAUGCAUAUCUUUUUGAAAAUGAUCAAAGAAAGAAAUUGUAUAAUAUGAAGAACUAAGGUGGCAAAAGUCUUUUUAUUUUAAAUUUGAUUGUGAAACAUAGGUAUUAUUUUAGAAGUGAAUCAUAUCAAUAUUUGUAUUAUGAGAAAACAAAUUAGUUUGAUUUAACCACUUGUUUUUUAAACAUUUAGUGAUUCCAGUAUUCCACAUCUUGGAGGAUAUAACUCCUUGAUAUGGGUCUGCUAGAGACUCAACACCUUCUCAUUCUUCCAGAGGUAUGGAAGAACAGGAUUUGGAUAUCCAACAAUGCAAAAUUUCUUUGGAUGAAGCUCUUCUACAGAGACAUUACAUCAGAGAUGGAACAAAACAAAUUUACAGUCAAAGCAUACUUCCAGUAUGUGAUAAUAAAAGCUUUAUGUAUCACUUCAUUAAAUCAGAACAGAAUACUGAGGACCGAAAGCUUACAUCUGGGAAACAAGUCUUAUAUAUGACUAAUUUUAGAAAGCUUCCUGUUUUAUGUCUAAGAAGAAAAAAAGAACCAUUUUUUUCCAUUUUACCUGUUAUGGGGAAAAAAGAAAAGAAGAAAAAAUUAGAGGAACAAAGAAUUCCACUGAGAAAGGGUUAGUUACAU